rnacentral:rRNA from 1 species
AGUGGAUGGGGAGCAACCUAGUUGUGCGUGUGUAAAGGUAGUGCCAAGAAAAGCGAUGAUCAUGUUGAAAAUCAAUACCCGGUACCCGAAACCGACACAGGUGGGCAAGUAGAGAAUACUAAGGGGCGCGAGGUAACUCUCUCCAAGGAACUCGGCAAAAUGACCCCGUAACUUAGGGAGAAGGGGUGCCACCGAGAGGUGGUCGCAGUGAAGAGGCCCAGGCGACUGUUUAGCAAAAACAUAGGUCUCUGCAAACUCGAAAGAGGAGGUAUAGGGGCUGACGCCUGCCCAGUGCCGGAAGGUUAAAGAAGUUGGUCAGUUUUAGGAUGAAGCUAGCGACUGAAGCCCCGGUGAACGGCGGCCGUAACUAUAACGGUCCUAGGGUAGCGAAAUUCCUUGUCGGGUAAGUUCCGACCCGCACGAAAGGCGUAACGAUCUGGGCGCUCUCGGAGAGAGGCUCGGCGAAAUAGGAUUGUCUGUGAAGAUACGGACUACCUGCAUUUGGACAGAAAGACCCUAUGAAGCUUUACUAUAGCUUGGAAUUGUGUUCGGGCUUCCUGUGCGCAGGAUAGGUGGGAGGCGUAGAAGGUAUUCUUGUGGGGAUACUGGAGCCAACGGUGAGAUACCACUCUCAGGAGGCUAGAAUUCUAACUUAAUUAAGGACAGUUUCAGGUGGGUAGUUUGACUGGGGCGGUCGCCUCCAAAAAGGUAACGGAGGCGUACAAAGGUUCCCUCAGACUGGUUGGAAAUCAGUCGAAGAGUGCAAAGGCAGAAGGGAGCUUGACUGCGAGAAGUACAGUUCGAGCAGGGUGGAAACACGGUCUUAGUGAUCCGACGGUGCUGUGUGGAAGGGCCGUCGCUCAACGGAUAAAAGUUACUCUAGGAUAACAGGCUGAUCUCCCCCAAGAGUUCACAUCGACGGGGAGGUUUGGCACCUCGAUGUCGGCUCAUCGCAACCUGGGGCGGAAGUACGUCCCAAGGGUUGGGCUGUUCGCCCAUUAAAGCGGUACGUGAGCUGGGUUCAGAACGUCGUGAGACAGUUCGGUCCAUACCCGAUGUAGGCGUGAGAAUAUUGAGAGGAGCCUUCCUUAGUACGAGAGGACCGGGAAGGACGCACCGCUGGUGUACCUGUUAUGAUGCCAAUUGUAAACGCAGGGUAGCCAAGUGCGGAGAGGAUAACCGCUGAAAGCAUCUAAGUGGGAAGCCCACCUCAAGAUGAGUAUUCUGGUGUAAGGUCACGGGAAGACGACCCGUAAAUAGGCACGAGGUGGAAGUGCAGAGAUGUAUGAAGCCGAAGUGUACUAAUAGACCGUCGGC